rnacentral:rRNA from 1 species
AUUGAACGCUGGCGGCAUGCCUUACACAUGCAAGUCGAACGGUAACGCGGGGCAACCUGGCGACGAGUGGCGAACGGGUGAGUAAUGUAUCGGAACGUGCCCAGUUGUGGGGGAUAACUGCUCGAAAGAGCAGCUAAUACCGCAUACGACCUGAGGGUGAAAGCGGGGGAUCGCAAGACCUCGCGCAAUUGGAGCGGCCGAUAUCAGCUUAGGUAGUAGGUGGGGUAAAGGCUCACCAAGCCGACGGUCUGUAGCUGGUCUGAGAGGACGACCAGCCACACUGGGACUGAGACACGGCCCAGACUCCUACGGGAGGCAGCAGUGGGGAAUUUUGGACAAUGGACGCAAGUCUGAUCCAGCCAUGCCGCGUGCGGGAAGAAGGCCUUCGGGUUGUAAACCGCUUUUGUCAGGGAAGAAAAGGCUCCUUCUAAUAUAGGGGGCUCAUGACGGUACCUGAAGAAUAAGCACCGGCUAACUACGUGCCAGCAGCCGCCGUAA